rnacentral:lncRNA from 10 species
CAGGGCCUGUUGUGGGGUGGGGGGAGGGGGGAGGGAUAGCAUUAGGAGAAAUACCUAAUGUGAUAAUAAAAAAAAUAAAAAAAUAAUAAAAAUAAAUAAUAAUAAUAAAGUGUCCUCAUUUGGAUGGCAGAUUGAAUGAUUAUCCUACAGAUUAUCUAAGUGUGUCUAGAACAGACGUUUUCAAACUUUAGGUUUUCCAGGAUGGUUUAUUCCCUUCUGAUGCAUGUGGUCUAAGACCUUUUUUAAAAAUCAAGGUAUAAUUGAGAACACAGUAAGUGUACCCUCCAGUAAGUUUUGACAUAUGUAUACAUCCAGGUGACCAGCACCCACUCAAGAUAAGGAAGGUUCCCAUCACUCUAAGAAGUGGUUUUGUGCCCCUUUUGCAACUAGUCCUGCCUGCAGAGGUCACCACCCUUCUGAUUUCUGUGGCCGAAGACUACGUUUGCCUAUUGAGACCCACAUUCUGAGAAGCUCAGGUCUCUGGUCUUUGGAGACCCUGGGAUAGAAAGCGCAGGUUGUCUUGGACGGGCCGUGAUUCUGGCCUGUUUAUUGCAGGGUUCUGUGGGUGUAGCGGAGGCUGAGAGCCCCUUAACAGAGACCCUAGAGGCCUGGAGGGCACCUUUGGAUAGCACGGCAGAAAGUGUGCUGCUCCAGAUGGGGGAGAUCACAGGCAGGGGGGUCACAGGGGCUGGCCUCCCAGGGGCUCGGCCUCCCAGGGGCUCAGCCUCCCAGGCCUGACACUGACCUGAGAUCCAGCCCUGCCCCUGCCCCUGCCCUUCCCAAGUCAGACCUCAGCACCCCUGGCCCCUCCACCCCAGGCUGACCUGGCUGCUCCUGCUCCUCAAGACUGUGUGACUCAUUCCACCUCAAAGGUGUGACUUCUGCUGUGGGCACGUGGCAAGACCUGGUGGGAUGAGGAAAGAUGCCCGGUGUUGGUCCUUCCCUUUAGAGACUGAGAAGUUUGAGGGUCUUUUCAAGAGGAGAAGGUCUGGGUAUCAGAGCACUAAAGGUGCCCACCGAGUUUCCAGGGAGGACCAGGCAGCACUUUGGCCAGAUGGCAGAGCCCAGCCCCUGCCCAGCCCCUGCACGAAUGCAUUGGUGUCCACCUUCCUGCCCCACUGCCUCGAUUCCUGCAAUGUAGAGGUUGAGAUCCAGGUGAGGACAGCAGCACCGACACUCAAGCCAGUACAAACCGAGGCUGGGGCAAGAAAUUCAGCACACACCGAGCUGUGAUAGGAGUACCAGGAAAGAAAUCAGGCCUGGCAGUGGGGCUGGUGCCUCUAGCCUCAGCGGGGCCUGUCGCAAGUUCAAGGGUGGUCGGCAUGUCCACUGUGAGGGGGGGACCUCUAGCCUCAGCGGGGCCCGUCACGAGUUCAAGGGCGGUCGGCCUGUCCACUGUGAGUGCUAACCAUGACCAUGACCCCAGUCAGGGCAAACGCCAACUCUGGGUGAGCAGCAAGUUGGAGGCGAGGGAAGGGAUCACGACCCCACCAGAUACUAAGGUAUGGAGGAAACAGCUUGGGGUGACACCCCACUGUGGGAGCUCAGGAGGAUGUGGGUCCGAGUCCUGGCUCACCACAGACCAGCUGUGAGCAUCCACUGGGCUAGCUGCUCAUACUCUCCAAAUGACAGCCCAGCCCAGGGUCACUGAAAGAUACCAGGAGUUGAUAAGGUGGUUGGCACAGGGUUGAGGAUACAGUGAGCACUCAGUAAACAAGAGUGAGGGUGGAAAUGAUAAAGAAUAGGGUCCCACUAGUGUGGGAUUCUGUCUCCAUGGAGGAACUGAGAUGACACGAUCUUAUAGUCUGAUCUGACAAGGCGUCCUUCUCUCCCCUUCCAGUCUACCAGGUGCCCUAGCUGUAUAAGAGAUAUCCUACAUGUCUACUAGGUGUCCUAGCUGUACUUGUCUACCAUGUGUCCCACCUGUCUGCUCAAGCUCCCUGCAAUCUUCCUUCUUUAGACUGUGUGCACCCCAUUGUCUGGAAUUCUCUCUUCUCCCUGAAAACUCUUCUCCCUUCCUACUCCAAGAGGGCUGCAUGCAUUCCCGAGCACAUGCCACCUACACACGUGUCCCACCCAUCUGGGGCCCUCAGCUCAGGUCUACCCCUCGAUGACACACCAACAUCCUCAUUGUGUGCACCGGGUUUAGCACCCAACACAACCCAAAACCUGCACAGGAGGCGAGCCUUGGAGCCUGGCAGCUGACACCUAUGUGAGUCGGCAGCCCUCCUUCACUGUAAUUAGUUACUAAUGACAUGACGAUUAUGAGUCCCUGGGAAACGUCGUUUCACAAACUGAAUGUUAGACACCCUGCAUGGUAAGCCUCACUAUACCCACUGGAUAGGUGAUAUGGCUGAGGCUUGGAUAAGUUAGACCACCUGAACCUGUGAGAAAGCACUGGCCCCCCCUCUGCUCCACCCUGCUUCCCCAAUGGAGGGGUGGGUGAGCCCAACCUGCCUGUGCCCCCUCCUCGACCGGACCUCAAGGCCACCUCGGCCCACUUCCAGAGGCCCCUGUGCAGCAGGCCUGGCCUGUUAGGAAGUUCCCAAGAGACUCUGACACGAG